rnacentral:rRNA from 1 species
UACGUAGGGUGCGAGCGUUAAUCGGAAUUACUGGGCGUAAAGCGUGCGCAGGCGGCUUCGCAAGUCAGACGUGAAAUCCCCGGGCUUAACCUGGGAAUGGCGUUUGAAACUACGGAGCUGGAGUGUGGCAGAGGGAGGUAGAAUUCCACGUGUAGCGGUGAAAUGCGUAGAUAUGUGGAGGAAUACCGAUGGCGAAGGCAGCCUCCUGGGCCAACACUGACGCUCAUGCACGAAAGCGUGGGGAGCAGACAGG